ACAGGCACAAGAGGGCAGCAGUGAGGAAUUGUACUGUAUCUGCAGAACACCUUAUGAUGAGUCACAAUGCUUGAAGGCAGCAUGCUCCUUAAGAGUCAUCACCACUCCCUAAUCUCAAGUGCCCAGGGACACAACCACUGUGGAAGGCCGCAGGGACCUCUGCCUAGGAAAGCCAGAGACCUUUGUUCACGUGUUUAUCUGCUGACCUUCUCUCCACUAUUAUCCCAUGACCCUGCCACAUCCCCCUCUCCGAGAAACACCCAA
rnacentral:lncRNA from 1 species